UACGUAGGGACCGAGCGUUGUCCGGAAUCAUUGGGCGUAAAGAGCGUGUAGGCGGCUUGCUAAGUCUUGCGUGAAAUCUCGGGGCUCAACCCCGAGCGGUCGUGGGAAACUGGCAGGCUAGAGUGCGGGAGAGGGAUGCAGAAUUCCAGGUGUAGCGGUGAAAUGCGUAGAUAUCUGGAGGAAUACCGGUGGCGAAGGCGGCAUCCUGGACCGACAUUGACGCUGAUGAGCGAAAGCUAGGGGAGCAAACGGG
rnacentral:rRNA from 1 species